rnacentral:rRNA from 1 species
UCGAGAAUCAUUCGCAAUGGGCGCAAGCCUGACGGUGCGACGCCGCGUGGAGGAUGAAGGCCCUAGGGUCGUAAACUCCUGUCAUCAGGGAGUAAUGGCUCAUGUAGUAACUGACAUGGGCUUUGAUAGUACCUGAAGAGGAAGGGACGGCAAACUUCGUGCCAGCAGCCGCGGUAAUACGAAGGUCCCAAGCGUUGUUCGGAUUUACUGGGCGUAAAGAGUCUGUAGGCGGUGAAGUAAGUCAGAUGUGAAAUCCCGGGGCUCAACCCCGGAACUGCAUCCGAUACUGCUUCACUUGAGGGUCGGAGGGGAGUCUGGAAUUCUCGGUGUAGCAGUGAAAUGCGUAGAUAUCGAGAGGAACACUAGUGGCGAAGGCGAGACUCUGGACGACAACUGACGCUGAGAGACGAAGGCCAGGGUAGCGAAAAGG